rnacentral:rRNA from 1 species
AGUGAACGCUGGCGGCAGGCCUAACACGUGCAAGUCGAGCGGCAGCGCGGGGGCAACCCUGGCGGCGAGCGGCGGACGGGUGAGGAAUGCGUCGGAAUCUGCCUCUUUGUGGGGGAUAACGUAGGGAAACUUACGCUAAUACCGCAUACGACCUACGGGUGAAAGUGGGGGACCUUCGGGCCUCACGCAGAGAGAUGAGCCGACGCCGGAUUAGCUAGUUGGCGGGGUAAAGGCCCACCAAGGCGACGAUCCGUAGCUGGUCUGAGAGGAUGAUCAGCCACACUGGAACUGAGACACGGUCCAGACUCCUACGGGAGGCAGCAGUGGGGAAUAUUGGACAAUGGGCGCAAGCCUGAUCCAGCCAUGCCGCGUGUGUGAAGAAGGCCUUCGGGUUGUAAAGCACUUUUGUCCGGAAAGAAAAGCUUCCGAUUAAUACUCGGGAGUCAUGACGGUACCGGAAGAAUAAGCACCGGCUAACUUCGUGCCAGCCGCCGCGGUAAUAC